UGCUCCUACGGGGCGCAGCAGUGGGGAAUAUUGCACAAUGGGCGAAAGCCUGAUGCAGCAACGCCGCGUGAACGAAGAAGGCUCUUGGGUCGUAAAGUUCUGUUCUGAGGGAAGAAGAAAGUGACGGUACCUCAGGAGAAAGCCCCGGCUAACUACGUGCCAGCAGCCGCGGUAAUACGUAGGUGACAAGCGUUGUCCGGAUUUACUGGGUGUAAAGGGCGCGUAGGCGGGAUAGCAAGUCAGUCGUGAAAUGCCGAGGCUUAACCUCGGAGCUGCGAUUGAAACUGGUAUUCUUGAGUAUCGGG
rnacentral:rRNA from 1 species